rnacentral:rRNA from 1 species
GACGAACGCUGGCGGCGUGCCUAAUACAUGCAAGUCGACCUUAGUGGCGAACGGGUGAGUAACACGUGGGUAACCUGCCCAUCAGAAGGGGAUAACACUUGGAAACAGGUGCUAAUACCGUAUACUGAUGGAUGGACCCGCGGUGCAUUAGCUAGUUGGGGAGGUAACGGAUCACCAAGGCCACUGUGCAUAGCGGACCUGAGAGGGUACGAGUCCACAGUGGGACUGAGACACGGCCCAAACUCCGACGGGAGGCAGAAGUAGGGAAUUUCCGGCAAUGGACGAAACUCUGACCGAGCAACGCCGCGUGAGGGAAGAAGGUUUGCGGAUCGUAAAACUCUGUUGUUAGAGAAGCGGUAUCUAACCAGAAAGCCACGGCUAACUACGUGCCAGCAGCCGCGGUAAUAC